rnacentral:rRNA from 2 species
GGUUAAGCGACUAAGCGUACACGGUGGAUGCCCUGGCAGUCAGAGGCGAUGAAGGACGUGCUAAUCUGCGAUAAGCGUCGGUAAGGUGAUAUGAACCGUUAUAACCGGCGAUUUCCGAAUGGGGAAACCCAGUGUGUUUCGACACACUAUCAUUAACUGAAUCCAUAGGUUAAUGAGGCGAACCGGGGGAACUGAAACAUCUAAGUACCCCGAGGAAAAGAAAUCAACCGAGAUUCCCCCAGUAGCGGCGAGCGAACGGGGAGCAGCCCAGAGCCUGAAUCAGUGUGUGUGUUAGUGGAAGCGUCUGGAAAGGCGCGCGAUACAGGGUGACAGCCCCGUACACAAAAAUGCACAUGCUGUGAGCUCGAUGAGUAGGGCGGGACACGUGGUAUCCUGUCUGAAUAUGGGGGGACCAUCCUCCAAGGCUAAAUACUCCUGACUGACCGAUAGUGAACCAGUACCGUGAGGGAAAGGCGAAAAGAACCCCGGCGAGGGGAGUGAAAAAGAACCUGAAACCGUGUACGUACAAGCAGUGGGAGCACGCUUAGGCGUGUGACUGCGUACCUUUUGUAUAAUGGGUCAGCGACUUAUAUUCUGUAGCAAGGUUAACCGAAUAGGGGAGCCGAAGGGAAACCGAGUCUUAACUGGGCGUUAAGUUGCAGGGUAUAGACCCGAAACCCGGUGAUCUAGCCAUGGGCAGGUUGAAGGUUGGGUAACACUAACUGGAGGACCGAACCGACUAAUGUUGAAAAAUUAGCGGAUGACUUGUGGCUGGGGGUGAAAGGCCAAUCAAACCGGGAGAUAGCUGGUUCUCCCCGAAAGCUAUUUAGGUAGCGCCUCGUGAAUUCAUCUCCGGGGGUAGAGCACUGUUUCGGCAAGGGGGUCAUCCCGACUUACCAACCCGAUGCAAACUGCGAAUACCGGAGAAUGUUAUCACGGGAGACACACGGCGGGUGCUAACGUCCGUCGUGAAGAGGGAAACAACCCAGACCGCCAGCUAAGGUCCCAAAGUCAUGGUUAAGUGGGAAACGAUGUGGGAAGGCCCAGACAGCCAGGAUGUUGGCUUAGAAGCAGCCAUCAUUUAAAGAAAGCGUAAUAGCUCACUGGUCGAGUCGGCCUGCGCGGAAGAUGUAACGGGGCUAAACCAUGCACCGAAGCUGCGGCAGCGACGCUUAUGCGUUGUUGGGUAGGGGAGCGUUCUGUAAGCCUGUGAAGGUGUGCUGUGAGGCAUGCUGGAGGUAUCAGAAGUGCGAAUGCUGACAUAAGUAACGAUAAAGCGGGUGAAAAGCCCGCUCGCCGGAAGACCAAGGGUUCCUGUCCAACGUUAAUCGGGGCAGGGUGAGUCGACCCCUAAGGCGAGGCCGAAAGGCGUAGUCGAUGGGAAACAGGUUAAUAUUCCUGUACUUGGUGUUACUGCGAAGGGGGGACGGAGAAGGCUAUGUUGGCCGGGCGACGGUUGUCCCGGUUUAAGCGUGUAGGCUGGUUUUCCAGGCAAAUCCGGAAAAUCAAGGCUGAGGCGUGAUGACGAGGCACUACGGUGCUGAAGCAACAAAUGCCCUGCUUCCAGGAAAAGCCUCUAAGCAUCAGGUAACAUCAAAUCGUACCCCAAACCGACACAGGUGGUCAGGUAGAGAAUACCAAGGCGCUUGAGAGAACUCGGGUGAAGGAACUAGGCAAAAUGGUGCCGUAACUUCGGGAGAAGGCACGCUGAUAUGUAGGUGAAGUCCCUCGCGGAUGGAGCUGAAAUCAGUCGAAGAUACCAGCUGGCUGCAACUGUUUAUUAAAAACACAGCACUGUGCAAACACGAAAGUGGACGUAUACGGUGUGACGCCUGCCCGGUGCCGGAAGGUUAAUUGAUGGGGUCAGCGCAAGCGAAGCUCUUGAUCGAAGCCCCGGUAAACGGCGGCCGUAACUAUAACGGUCCUAAGGUAGCGAAAUUCCUUGUCGGGUAAGUUCCGACCUGCACGAAUGGCGUAAUGAUGGCCAGGCUGUCUCCACCCGAGACUCAGUGAAAUUGAACUCGCUGUGAAGAUGCAGUGUACCCGCGGCAAGACGGAAAGACCCCGUGAACCUUUACUAUAGCUUGACACUGAACAUUGAGCCUUGAUGUGUAGGAUAGGUGGGAGGCUUAGAAGUGUGGACGCCAGUCUGCAUGGAGCCGACCUUGAAAUACCACCCUUUAAUGUUUGAUGUUCUAACGUUGACCCGUAAUCCGGGUUGCGGACAGUGUCUGGUGGGUAGUUUGACUGGGGCGGUCUCCUCCUAAAGAGUAACGGAGGAGCACGAAGGUUGGCUAAUCCUGGUCGGACAUCAGGAGGUUAGUGCAAUGGCAUAAGCCAGCUUGACUGCGAGCGUGACGGCGCGAGCAGGUGCGAAAGCAGGUCAUAGUGAUCCGGUGGUUCUGAAUGGAAGGGCCAUCGCUCAACGGAUAAAAGGUACUCCGGGGAUAACAGGCUGAUACCGCCCAAGAGUUCAUAUCGACGGCGGUGUUUGGCACCUCGAUGUCGGCUCAUCACAUCCUGGGGCUGAAGUAGGUCCCAAGGGUAUGGCUGUUCGCCAUUUAAAGUGGUACGCGAGCUGGGUUUAGAACGUCGUGAGACAGUUCGGUCCCUAUCUGCCGUGGGCGCUGGAGAACUGAGGGGGGCUGCUCCUAGUACGAGAGGACCGGAGUGGACGCAUCACUGGUGUUCGGGUUGUCAUGCCAAUGGCACUGCCCGGUAGCUAAAUGCGGAAGAGAUAAGUGCUGAAAGCAUCUAAGCACGAAACUUGCCCCGAGAUGAGUUCUCCCUGACUCCUUGAGAGUCCUGAAGGAACGUUGAAGACGACGACGUUGAUAGGCCGGGUGUGUAAGCGCAGCGAUGCGUUGAGCUAACCGGUACUAAUGAACCGUGAGGCUUAACCUU